rnacentral:misc_RNA from 13 species
UUACACGCUUCAGCAGUACAUGCACUAAAGUUGGAAUGAUACAGAGAAGAUUAGCAUGGCCCCAGUGCAAGGAUGACACACAACUAGUUCUGAAGACGGGUUUGAAUCCAAUGCUU